AUUCACAUGAUUCUCUGAAAAUACAGCCUUGAUGCAGAGCUUCGUUUGGAUUUUGUCUACAUCCAAAAUCUGCCUCAGAACCUCUGGAUCAAACGCAGCAAGUUGGCCUUGUAGACAGAAAGUCUCACACCAAGUAUUUUGAGCAGAACUUUUGGAACUGAAUAUACAAAAACCUUAAUACUGCCUUCUAAAGCUUGUGUUUUCCUUAAAGACCCCCCUUGACACAUCACCUCCUUAAUAGACAGAGCGAUGGAGAUGUGCUGUGGGUGUUUGGUGCUGGUCUUGCUGAUGACCGUCUCCUCAGAUGCUCAGUGUUCCAUGGUUUGACCUUAAUACCAAAGCUGUGAACUUAGCCAGAAGCCCCCUUCGUCCUUCUGAGAGUCCAGCCAGCUGGGGAAACUCAAAUGACCAGAGACUAGGUCUGUACUCAGAAGGCUUUCCCCAUUUAUUAAUCAGAAUAGCAGAGAUUACACACACACACACACACACACACACACACAAGCCUUGCAUGAUCAUGCGACAAGACAACAGAGAGGGGAUUGGAUGAAAUAGUUAUAGGUGGACAAGAACCCCCAAGGACAUUUGACAUCCAGAUACACAGAGC
ensembl:lncRNA